rnacentral:rRNA from 1 species
GACGUAGGGCGCAAGCGUUGUCCGGAUUUAUUGGGCGUAAAGAGCUCGUAGGCGGCUUGUUGCGUCGACCGUGAAAACCUGAGGCUCAACCUCGGGCCUGCAGUCGAUACGGGCAAACUAGAGUUCGGUAGGGGAGACUGGAAUUCCUGGUGUAGCGGUGGAAUGCGCAGAUAUCAGGAGGAACACCGAUGGCGAAGGCAGGUCUCUGGGCCGAAACUGACGCUGAGGAGCGAAAGCGUGGGGAGCGAACAGG